rnacentral:rRNA from 1 species
GAUGAACGCUGGCGGCGUGCCUAACACAUGCAAGCCGAGCGAUUCUCUUCGGAGAAGAGCGGCGGACGGGUGAGUAACGCGUGGGUAACCUGCCCUGUACACACGGAUAACAUACCGAAAGGUAUGCUAAUACGAGAUAAUCUGCUUUUAUCGCAUGGUAGAAGUAUGAAAGCCCCGGCGGUACAGGAGGGACCCGCGUCUGAUUAGCUAGUUGGUAAGGUAACGGCUUACCAAGGCGACGAUCAGUAGCCGACCUGAGAGGGUGAUCGGGAACACUGGAACUGAGACACGGUCCAAACUCCUACGGGAGGCAGCAGUGGGGGAUAUUGCACAAUGGGCGAAAGCCUGAUGCAGCAACGCCGCGUGAGCGAUGAAGGCCUUCGGGUCGUAAAGCUCUGUCCUCAAGGAAGAUAAUGACGGUACUUGAGGAGGAAGCCCCGGCUAACUACGUGCCAGCCGCCGCGGUAA